UACGAAGGUGGCGAAUGUUGUUCGGAUUCACUGGGCGUAAAGCGUCGGUAGGUGGUGUUUUAAGUUAGAGGUGAAAGCCCCGCGCUCAACGUGGGAAUUGCCUUUAAAACUGGAACACUUGAGAGUAUCAGAGGAUGGCGGAAUAACUGGUGUAGAGGUAAAAUUCAUAGAUAUCAGUUGGAACACCCAUGGCGAAGGCAGCUAUCUGGGAUAUUUCUGACACUGAGCGACGACAGCGUGGGGAGCAAACAGG
rnacentral:rRNA from 1 species